AACGUAGGAGGCUAGCGUUAUCCGGAUUCACUGGGCGUAAAGCGCGUGUAGGUGGCUCGCUAAGUCGAAUGUGAAAGCCCCCGGCUUAACUGGGGGAGGUCAUUUGAUACUGGUGGGCUUGAGGACAAGAGAGGAGAGUGGAAUUCCCGGUGUAGCGGUGGAAUGCGUAGAGAUCGGGAGGAACACCAGUGGCGAAAGCGGCUCUCUGGCUUGUCCCUGACACUGAGACGCGAAAGCGUGGGGAGCAAACGGG
rnacentral:rRNA from 1 species